CCUUUUUCGGCUUUAUACCUACACACGCACCAAGCCCCAUGAGACAGGCGGAUGUUCUCCUUGUUGAACGACUGGGUGGAGUCUGCAGCCGACGCUGUCAAGAGCGUCUCUAGCAAAGGCAUCGACGUAGUCCGACAAACAGGCGUGCUGGACGCUUUGGAGAGCGUGUCGGUGAACCCCGACUCGGCCGCCGCGGCCGCAGCACCGCAAGAAAAGACGCUGAGCGUGCUGGACAUCAUGGCGCCACCUGCCACGUGGGCAGGCAGCAAGGAGGAGUGGGUGUGGUGCGUGGAGGCUGCUUUGCGUGACCCCAAUACGUGCGCCCUUACCCCAGCUACCUUGCGCGCCGAUGCCUCGCUGUGGGAGGAGACGAAGACGACCGUCGCGCACCUCCUCGAAGCCCCGCCACCGCCUGGAAAAAACGACUUGUCAGCGCCCACACCAACGGGUAACAGCACCGAAGCGCCAGCGGCUCUGGCUGCGAAACUGCUCGAGCGGACCGGGGACGCUUACACCCCUGCCGCAGACCUGGUGAAGUACAUUCAAGAGCAUUACGAGGUGUAUCAGGUACGGUCCUACAUUGUGCCGCGCUUCACCUCGGACGAAGACUACUGGUUGAACAUUGGAUGGCGCAUCAACUUAUACCGGCAGUGCACCAACGCGGGGCAGCUCUUGACAUUGAUGCAGACCCUGUCACGCCUGCCGCAGCCGUUGCACGAUAUUGCCGCGGCGGCGAGGAAGCCAGAAGCGCCCAAGUCUGAAGCCGUUGGAAGCGCGCAACAUGAAGGAGGAGGCGAUGCCCGCCAAAAUGACGAUGUGGAUGAAGACUUCGAAGAAGAGGUGAUUCAUCUGAAGGACAACGCAAAGUACUGGCACAAUACCUGCAUGCAGUACGAAGUCAUCCAGGAGAAGUUCGUGUGGCUGCAGGAAACUGAAGAGCGGGUCAGGAAGGAGAUUGAGCUGGCGGGCGGGAACGUGAAGCUGCUCAGCAGUCUGAUACAGCGGAAGGAGGCGUCGACGGCCCUCGGCGCCUCGGUGUUCGACAGCUGUCAGUACCACAAGGUGAAGCUGUCACGGCUCAUCGCAGACAUCUGCGCUGCCCCCGCGGAGCACAGUGAAGGCACCCUGCUGGACUCGCACUCCGGCACACUGUUUCACGCGCUGGUCAAGUGCAACGACUACGUCAAGGCAGUUCUCGAAGCAUAUGCUGAUCGCCCACCCAGUGGUUCUGGAAGCCCCAAGGGGGUAGUGUCAUCCCCCACAUCGGCGGCACCGGCGUCUGCGAGGCAGGACUCGCCUGCCCAAUGUGAAGAGCCAUCCACGGAGGUAGGUACUGGGGGCAGCAGCCCUGUCGAGCUGAGGCUAUCAGCCAGCGGCAGUUCUCUUGACCCCGACAGCAACAAGGCUGACGGCAGUGACGAAGAGCCGUUCGAGGCAAAGUUGCCGUGGUCGAUGGACGACUGAGGAAGCUAGGGGCGCCGAAGCCGCCUCUUCUCCCUUGCCCUCGCAUCCGCUUCCUCUCCUACAGUGCUCCACGCUGUGGUUUUUUUUUUCUUUUGUUUCUUGUGCUUCUCUGUUCCCCCGCAGUAUUGGUCGGAUACUGCUGCGCAUAGCCACUGCUGGCCGCGGCCUUGCAUGUUUGCCAUUAUUCGCCCAUUUCUCUUGUUCCUUGCCCCCCCCCCUCCCGAUUUUGCUUAGCAUCGUGAGUAGACGCGGGGUGUCCAUAGCUGUGGCUUGAUUUACUCUCUGUGCCUCUUCUGUUCU
rnacentral:misc_RNA from 1 species